rnacentral:lncRNA from 1 species
GCCCUCUAGUUUUAUGAUUCUGUUUCCUUGAAAUUUCUAUUUUUAAAAUAAAGACAUUUGAAGAUCUGAAUAUAUAAUGUGGAGUAUGGAAUAUGGUAUGUGUCUCAAGAUUAACUUUAAAUAACAGAUUUCCUCAGUCACAUUAUAAAAUACCAGUAGUAUUAACGUUUUUCAAUGGGUAAACAUAUGCAUUCAUAUUGAGACUCAUACUGUUGAUCGUAUUGAUUUAUUCAAUCAACUUCCUGUUAAUUCACUAUGAUCUUAGUGUCUGUAUAAGUGAACAAUAUUAUACAUCAAACAAAUCUAUCUUAAGAUGAGAUGUGAUUUUAAUGCAAAGCACAAUACUAUUAACCUGCCACAAAAAGAUUUUGGCUUUGAGUUAUUUUUCCAGUAGUAAUCAUAGUCACCUGCCUACCAGUGAUCAACAGCUUGAAAUUCUGAUAGAGAUCCUCAGAUUGGUACUGUUUGUGGUUUAUUGUUUUUUGUGGGGGUUUUUUUUUCCUUUUUAUUUUGGAUUUUAAAUUUUUAUUUAUUAUAUUUUAUUUAUUUUUAUUUUUUAUUUUUAUUUCUUUUAGUUGUUGGAAAGUCUGAGGGAGUAGAAUUGUGACACUGACUUAAUUUGUACCUUGGAGAAGAGAGGAUUCUGCUCACUUGGAGGCAUAUAAUAUGUCCCUUCCAUGGAUAUAUGGAAGAAUGUUGUAAUAAUAACUGUACUUUGUCCUUAAUGCAUUUUUUCAAUUCCAGGCACUUUGCAAAUAAAUGCAUUAUUUAUUGUAUUUUAACCACUGCUGCCUCCCCCAUGAAAAGAAUUAUUGAAGUUAAUUGUUUACCUAGGAUUAAGGUAAUGUUUACAGAUACAAACCAGCUACCUUCAGAAGGAUCAGGUGAGAAAACAUGGAAGGGAGAAAGAUGCCAGGGCCAUAAAGAAGGAGUGGACCAGACAGCGUGGGUGGAGAAGGAAAACUCCAUAAGCGCCUUUGGAUCAACUGCUCAAAGUUUUUGCACUACUUACUACUUGCAAGGGUUUAGCGGAGUCUUCCGCAUGAACAAGGAUAGUUGGCAUGAGUGAGGUGUGAAACAUAAUGCAGAUAAUACACAAGUUAUGCCCCUCAAGGCCAUGAAUAAUUGUGGCCAACCUUGGACAAGAAGUCAGGCAUCCCAAGAGUGGAAUUAAAAAAAAAAAGUGAAGUCAAGUCCUGAACUACACAGAGAAUACCUGUACACACACUCUCUUCUGAGCCUCUGUGACCACGGAAAACCACGGGGGAGAUGAUGUGAACAGAGAGCCUCUCUUUCUAGCCUCUGGCAGUGAGUAAUUCUACCCAAUAUAACUUUAUGAAGGUCACCUCCCAUCUUCUGCUUUUGAAUAGAGGCAGAAAGAGAAAUGUUUUGAAGGGUCAGUAUGAGAAAGAUUCAGCUCUUCAUGUUUAAUUUUGACUCUUCUUUAAAACGUCAUCUUGGGACUGUAGUUGUCAAGACUAUCAUGUGUCAGGUAUAGUCAAUAUCGAGGGAACUACCGUUAGGUACUUCGAGAAUGCUAUUGCCUAGGAACAAAAAUCAAAAAGUAUAAAAAUAUGGAGGAUAGGGAUCCCUGGGUGGCGCAGCGGUUUGGUGCCUGCCUUUGGCCCAGGGCGUGAUCCUGGAGACCCGGGAUCGAGUCCCACGUCGGGCUCCCAGUGCAUGGAGCCUGCUUCUCCCUCUGCCUGUGUCUCUGCCUCUCUCUCUCUCUGUGUGACUAUCAUAAGUAAAUAAAAAUUAAAAAAAAAAUAUGGAGGAUAAAACC